AAUUCAAUAGAGAGAACAUAUCUUUUUAAAUUAGUAAUAUUUUUACUGCAAAUAUUUUUUUUAAAAAGGACAGAUAAAGAAAAUCGUCAACAAAUAUAUUUUAUGGGAAAAGUAAGUGGUAGUGACAAAAAAACAAAUGCAAUGCCACAGGUUUAUUGUCAAGUGUAUGCCAAGCCAUCACUCUUUGAAAGUUGUUUCUUUGUUGAAAUGUUAAGCUUUUUUCCUCCAUUCUUGAUCUGCAUCUCGGGACAUGUCAUGUGUCACCUUUACAACAUUUAGUUCAGCCGUGUCUAAUAAUGUUUAAUUAAAUAGUAAGUCCGAUCUAUAAAUGCAUCGGCAGGGAUUCUGGUGGCUUUAUGUCAUCUUCAAAAGUUUUUUUUUCCAGCCGUGUCUUGAAUUUUAAACAGUAAGUCCGAUAUUCAACGAUCGGCAGUUACACUUCUGAUAUUUGUGAAGAAGAAUUUUUAAAAGUCUAAUAGAACCACCAACAGUGACUAUAUGUAUGGCACUAUGCCAUCUCGAAAAGUAAUUCUUAGUCUUGUUUUGCAUUAGAAAAAAAGUAAGUCCGAUCUUCAACGAUUGGCAGGGAUACAUUAUGUCAGCAUGUACUUAUACUCUUAACUUGUCUUUGAUUUAAAGUGAGACCAGUCUGCAACGAUUGGCAGAACGUGUAUGAUAUUAUAUUGCCUUCAGUAGUCAUGCAUGUAUGUAUUUGUAAAUAGCUUAUAGAUUUCUGUAGCUUUUUUACCUUCUCUCUUAAUACACUUUUGCUUUCAUCUUUCCUUUCCUCGUAACUAUUUUGUUGGGUGGGAUUUCAAUAAAAUUAAGCCUUUUCUUACCAUCUGUGGAGAUACGGUGUGACCUAGCCAGGCUGGGUCGAGUUUUCUUUCUCCCUGUAGCUCAUUCAGCCAAGAAUACACAUCUACAAGCGUAAGACUGACUGGAUGAGGAGAGGCUGCUUUGUUGGGAUGGAAACGAAUACCUCCGAGGAACCAGAAGCAGGAAGGAGGACCGACAGAUGAACUGAAGACUCUGCUUACAGGGCUACCCAGUUCUGAUUUUAAAGAUGAAACUUAUGAACCGGAAGAAGGGAAGAAGAACUACACAAGAACUGACGACCCUACUUGCUGGGAUUCCAAUUCUGAUUUCAAAGAAAGCGAAGCUUGGUAUACAUGGAUGACAGUGGCUGUAUGAGGAUGACCUUGCCCUCCUGACACCACUUCAGCUGAAACUAAGGAGCCGGAAGCAGGGAGGAGGACCAACAGAUGAACGGAUGACCUGCUUGUAGGGCUUCCCAUUUCUGAUUUUUAAAAAAAUGGAACCUAGUAUACAUGGAUGAGAGUGGCUGGAUGCAGAAGCUUCUGGUUGAGUAUGACCUUGUUCUUCCCAUCCCACUUCAGCUGAAAGUAAGGAGCCGGAAGCAGGGAGGAGGACCAACAGAUGAACGGAUGACCUGCUUGUAGGGCUUCCCAUUUCUGAUUUUUGAAAAAAUGGAGCCUGGUAUACAUGGAUGAGAGUGGCUGGAUGAAGAAUCAUCUGGUUGAGGAUGACCUUGCCAUCCCCACCCCACUUCAGCUGGAACUAAGGAGCCGGAAGCAGGGAGGAGGACCAACAGAUGAACGGAUGACCUGCUUGUUGGGCUUCCCAUUUUAUAUUUUUCAAAAAAUGGAGCCUGUUAUACAUGGACGAGAGUGGCUGGAUGAAGAAUCAUCUGGUUGAGGAUGACCUUGCCCUCCCCACCCCACUUCAGCUGGAUCUAAGGAGCCGGAAGCAGGGAGGAGGACCAACAGAUGAACGGAUGACCUGCUUGUCGGGCUUCC
rnacentral:lncRNA from 1 species